AACUAUACUAUUACAAACUAGCUGCACAAUUUAUCCCAAGCUGUACUUGGCAUUAACCUUUUCCUGUAUCCGAACGCAUUUGCCUUAUCUGCAAUGUUUUAUCAUGAUAUAGCAAGGGUGAGCAUGAAAGUUGCCCAGCAAGUUUAAAUACAACAAUAUAAGGAUAUAUCAUGAUUGAAGAGUAUGAAUAAUAAACUGGCUAUAAUUCAUUAAUAUAAUUGAGAACUAGCAGGAACAAACUUUUGACUGAACAAGUUUUAAACAUGAACAAACAUUUCUGAACCAACUGGUAAUGAAGGUGAUCAGCCUUUCAUACCUGACUUAUACAUGCAAGAUGUACAGAGUACAAUUUUCAUGGCAAUCAGCAAUGAUUAACCAUAAGCUUGAAUAAAACACUCUUAUUAGAGUUAAGUAAGAACAAACUU
rnacentral:lncRNA from 1 species